GUCCUAGCCGUAAACGAUGAACACUAGGCGUAGUCGGUAUCGACCCCGGCUGUGCCGUAGCCAACGCAUUAAGUGUUCCGCCUGGGGAGUACGGCCGCAAGGCUAAAACUCAAAGGAAUUGACGGGGGCCCGCACAAGCAGCGGAGCGUGUGGUUUAAUUCGUCGCAACGCGAAGAACCUUACCAGGGCUUGACAUGCACCGGAAAAACGGCGGAAAACGUCGUCCUCCCGCAAAGGGAUCGGUGUGCAGGUGUUGCAUGGCUGUCGU
rnacentral:rRNA from 1 species